rnacentral:rRNA from 1 species
UACAGAGGUCUCAAGCGUUGUUCGGAUUCAUUGGGCGUAAAGGGCGCGUAGGCUGCGGGGCAAGUCGGGUGUGAAAUCUCAGAGCUCAACUCUGAAACUGCACUCGAUACUGCUUUGCUUGAGGACUGGAGAGGAGACUGGAAUUUACGGUGUAGCAGUGAAAUGCGUAGAUAUCGUAAGGAAGACCAGUGGCGAAGGCGGGUCUCUGGACAGUUCCUGACACUGAGGCACGAAGGCCAGGGGAGCAAACGGG